GACGAACGCUGGCGGCGUGCUUAACACAUGCAAGUCGAACGGAAAGGCCCUGCUUGCAGGGUACUCGAGUGGCGAACGGGUGAGUAACACGUGGGUGAUCUGCCCUGCACUUCGGGAUAAGCCUGGGAAACUGGGUCUAAUACCGGAUAGGAGCCAUUUUUAUUGUUAUGGUUGGAAAGUUUUUUCGGUGUAGGAUGAGCUCGCGGCCUAUCAGCUUGUUGGUGGGGUAAUGGCCUACCAAGGCGGCGACGGGUAGCCGGCCUGCGAGGGUGGACGGCCACAUUGGGACUGAGAUACGGCCCAGACUCCUACGGGAGGCAGCAGUGGGGAAUAUUGCACAAUGGGCGCAAGCCUGAUGCAGCGACGCCGCGUGGGGGAUGACGGCCUUCGGGUUGUAAACUCCUUUUGCUAGGGACGAAGCUUUUUGUGACGGUACCUAGAUAAGAAGCACCGGCUAACUACGUG
rnacentral:rRNA from 1 species